UCCACCUCACCGCGUCGGGCUGCGCGCGCGCCUCGCUCGAACAUAAAUACAAUAAAAUAUGGAAAUGGCGAGUCAGUCCGUGACAGGUGCGCGGCCGCGGCGUUCGUGCACGUGUACUGUUAGUGAGUGCGCUAGCGCUGCCGCUUUCUCUGCAACCCUUGGCACCGAUGUUCUUAUGGAAGAAUAAAUAUAUGGGCAAUAUAUUGAAAAA